AUUGAACGCUGGCGGCAGGCCUAACACAUGCAAGUCGAACGGUAACAGGAAGACGCUUGCUUCUUUGCUGACGAGUGGCGGACGGGUGAGUAAUGUCUGGGAAACUGCCUGAUGGAGGGGGAUAACUACUGGAAACGGUAGCUAAUACCGCAUAACGUCGCAAGACCAAAGAGGGGGACCUUCGGGCCUCUUGCCAUCGGAUGUGCCCAGAUGGGAUUAGCUAGUAGGUGGGGUAACGGCUCACCUAGGCGACGAUCCCUAGCUGGUCUGAGAGGAUGACCAGCCACACUGGAACUGAGACACGGUCAAGACUCCUACGGGAGGCAGCAGUGGGGAAUAUUGCACAAUGGGCGCAAGCCUGAUGCAGCCAUGCCGCGUGUAUGAAGAAGGCCUUCGGGUUGUAAAGUACUUUCAGCGGGGAGGAAGGGAGUAAAGUUAAUACCUUUGCUCAUUGACGUUACCCGCAGAAGAAGCACCGGCUAACUCCGUG
rnacentral:rRNA from 1 species